UGGGCAACCUGCCCUCAGCUCUGGGAUAACUCCAAGAAAUUGGGCUAAUACCGGAUAUGACCGCUGACCGCAUGGUCUGGUGGUGGAAAGAUUUAUCGGCUGGGGAUGGGCCCGCGGCCUAUCAGCUUGUUGGCGGGGUAGUGGCCUACCAAGGCGACGACGGGUAGCCGGCCUGAGAGGGUGACCGGCCACACCGGGACUGAGACACGGCCCAGACUCCUACGGGAG
rnacentral:rRNA from 1 species